UACAGGAGUACUUUCCUGCUAAGGUCGUUU
rnacentral:piRNA from 1 species